UACCUUGUAGCUUACUGGCUUGUGUCUGAUGCACAAUGCAGAAGGGCUAUGGUUCGAAGGCUAGUUCGAUGGUGCUAGUUCGGUGGUGUUACGGCCAUUUGUUGUUGCUGUUGUUAUUAUUAUUAUUAUUACAUAUAAAAAGAGGUAUUCUAAAAUACCUUU